AGGGUGCAAGCGUUGUCCGGAAUUAUUGGGCGUAAAGAGCUCGUAGGUCGUUUGUUACGUCGGAUGUGAAAACCUGAGGCUCAACCUCAGGCCUGCAUUCGAUACGGGCAAACUAGAGUUUGGUAGGGGAGACUGGAAUUCCUGGUGUAGCGGUGGAAUGCGCAGAUAUCAGGAGGAACACCAAUGGCGAAGGCAGGUCUCUGGGCCAAUACUGACACUGAGGAGCGAAAGUCUGGGGAGCGAACAGGAUUAGAUACCCUGGUAGUCCAGACCGUAAACGGUGGGCACUAGUUGUGGGAACCUUCCACGGUUUCUGCGACGCAGCUAACGCAUUAAGUGCCCCGCCUGGGGAGUACGAUCGCAAGAUUAAAACUCAAAGGAAUUGACGGGGCCCCGCACAAGCAGCGGAGCAUGCGGCUUAAUUCGACGCAACGCGAAGAACCUUACCAAGGCUUGACAUAUAGGGAAAAGUGGCAGAGAUGUCAUGUCCGCAAGGGCUCUAUACAGGUGGUGCAUGGUUGUCGUCAGCUCGUGUCGUGAGAUGUUGGGUUAAGUCCCGCAACGAGCGCAACCCUCGUUCUGUGUUGCCAGCAUUUAGUUGGGGACUCACAGGAGACUGCCGGGGUUAACUCGGAGGAAGGUGGGGAUGACGUCAAAUCAUCAUGCCCCUUAUGUCUUGGGCUGCACGCAUGCUACAAUGGCCGGUACAGAGGGCUGCAAUACCGUAAGGUGGAGCGAAUCCCAAAAAGCCGGUCUCAGUUCGGAUUGAGGUCUGCAACUCGACCUCAUGAAGUUGGAGUUGCUAGUAAUCGUAGAUCAGCAUCGCUACGGUGAAUACGUUCCCGGGGCUUGUACACACCGCCCGUCACGUCACGAAAGUCGGUAACACCCAAAGUCAGUGGCCCAACCGCAAGGGGGGAGCUGCCUAAGGUGGGAUCGGUGAUUGGGACGAAGUCGUAACAAGGUAGGCGUACCGGAAGGUGCGGCUG
rnacentral:rRNA from 1 species